rnacentral:rRNA from 1 species
UUAAUACCCGUAAUAAUAUCGGUUGGCAUCGAUUGAUAUUUAUAGCUCCGGCGCUUGAAGAUGGGCGUGCGUCUGAUUAGGUAGUUGGCGGGGUAACGGCCACCAAGCCUACGAUCAGUAACUGGUGUGAGAGCACGACCAGUCACACGGGCACUGAGACACGGGCCCGACUCCUACGGGAGGCAGCAGUAAGGAAUAUUGGUCAAUGGACGCAAGUCUGAACCAGCCAUGCCGCGUGGAGGAUGAAGGCCCUCUGGGUUGUAAACUUCUUUUAUCUGGGAAGAAACCGGACCUUUCUAGGGCCGUUGACGGUACCAGAUGAAUAAGCACCGGCUAACUCCGUGC